AUGGCUGCACUGGGACUCCUCCUCUCCAUGUUGGCACUCUGUAUCCAUGGCUCCAGGGCUGACAUCAUCCUGACUCAGAGUCCUACAGUGGAGUCCGUCUCUGUAGGAGGGAGUGUCACUCUCAACUGCAGGGCCAGCAGCUCAAGCGCAAGCAGCUACAUUGCCUGGUAUCUGCAGAAACCUGGAGAACCUCCUAAACUCCUGUUCUACUCUGUGGGUAGCAGAGUGUCAGGGACUCCAGCUCGAUUCACUGAUGGCAAGGAUGGAACCAACUACAUGCUGAAAAUCAGUGGGGUGCAGGCAGAAGAUGCAGGAGAUUAUUACUGUCAGCAACCUCACAACAGCAAUGACUUUACUUUUGGCGGCGGCACCAGACUGGACAUUGGAAGCAACACCCGCCCAACGGUCACGGUCCUCCCCCCCUCUAGCGCAGAGCUGUCCACUCAUAAGAAGGCCACGCUGAUGUGCCUGGCCAACAAGGGCUUCCCCUCAGACUGGAAGCUGCGCUGGAAGGUGGACGGUAGCAGCAAGAGCUCGGAGGAGAGCGGCGGGGUCCUGGAGAAGGACGGCCUGUACAGCUGGAGCAGCACCCUGACUCUCACGGCAGACGAGUGGGCCAGGGCAGGGUCACUGACCUGCGAGGCCACCCAGGGCUCCCAGACAACAGUUACUCAGACGCUGCAGAGAUCCGAUUGCUCUGGGUAG